CUAUGUCGAUCAGGUCUCCGCACUAGGUUUGGUAUUGAUAUGGUGCUCCUCGGGGAGCCCGGGACCACCAGCUCGUCUAAGGAGGGGUGAAUCGGCCCAGGUCGGUAACAGAGCAGGUCAAAGCCCCCAUGCCGCUCAGUAGUGGGUUCGCGCCUGUGAAUAG
ensembl:misc_RNA Metazoa_SRP Metazoan signal recognition particle RNA